rnacentral:misc_RNA from 1 species
CUUUCUUCAUUUUAGCCAAAAAAAAACUAUGGUUGAGCUAGGAGAUGGCAGCCUUGUUUAGCAAGUAAGGCUUGGUUAAAGAGCUGUAAAUCUUUAAAUCGCACACCACCCUUUUUUUUAUUUUUCGAUUCGCCCAUGGAAUGCCAAGAAACAUAAUACAGCUUGAACAUCUUCUUUUUGACCCCACCAAAAUUGAGCAACCAUUCUGUUGAUGUCAUUACAUAAACCCACUAGAAGACAAAAGCAACUCGUCGCAUAAACUAGUAUAGCUUGAGUAACAGUUUCAAUAGGGAUUUAUUUUCCACCUUAAGAAAGUAAUUCUCUUUCCACCCAGCUGUUUUGGUUUUGGAAAGGCUACUUUGGUGAUUCUAUGCUUCUCAAUUUAGAGCAGAUCGAUCUGAAAUGAUCUAAAGAUCCCGUCUAGUCUUCAUGUGAAUGAGACCAAGUUACCAAACUGGCGGGCCCAAUGAUGACAAACGUGAUGAAAUGCUACCAUCCCAUGCUUUCCCUUUCUUGAUCUCAAUGUGCUUGUCGUGUAAACAUUGUCUCAGCCAUAACGGACU